rnacentral:rRNA from 1 species
AGCGUACACGGUGGAUGCCCUGGCAGUCAGAGGCGAUGAAGGACGUGCUAAUCUGCGAUAAGCGUCGGUAAGGUGAUAUGAACCGUUAUAACCGGCGAUUUCCGAAUGGGGAAACCCAGUGUGAUUCGUCACACUAUCAUUAACUGAAUCCAUAGGUUAAUGAGGCGAACCGGGGGAACUGAAACAUCUAAGUACCCCGAGGAAAAGAAAUCAACCGAGAUUCCCCCAGUAGCGGCGAGCGAACGGGGAGCAGCCCAGAGCCUGAAUCAGUGUGUGUGUUAGUGGAAGCGUCUGGAAAGGCGCGCGAUACAGGGUGACAGCCCCGUACACAAAAAUGCACAUACUGUGAGCUCGAUGAGUAGGGCGGGACACGUGGUAUCCUGUCUGAAUAUGGGGGGACCAUCCUCCAAGGCUAAAUACUCCUGACUGACCGAUAGUGAACCAGUACCGUGAGGGAAAGGCGAAAAGAACCCCGGCGAGGGGAGUGAAAAAGAACCUGAAACCGUGUACGUACAAGCAGUGGGAGCACGCUUAGGCGUGUGACUGCGUACCUUUUGUAUAAUGGGUCAGCGACUUAUAUUCUGUAGCAAGGUUAACCGAAUAGGGGAGCCGAAGGGAAACCGAGUCUUAACUGGGCGUUAAGUUGCAGGGUAUAGACCCGAAACCCGGUGAUCUAGCCAUGGGCAGGUUGAAGGUUGGGUAACACUAACUGGAGGACCGAACCGACUAAUGUUGAAAAAUUAGCGGAUGACUUGUGGCUGGGGGUGAAAGGCCAAUCAAACCGGGAGAUAGCUGGUUCUCCCCGAAAGCUAUUUAGGUAGCGCCUCGUGAAUUCAUCUCCGGGGGUAGAGCACUGUUUCGGCAAGGGGGUCAUCCCGACUUACCAACCCGAUGCAAACUGCGAAUACCGGAGAAUGUUAUCACGGGAGACACACGGCGGGUGCUAACGUCCGUCGUGAAGAGGGAAACAACCCAGACCGCCAGCUAAGGUCCCAAAGUCAUGGUUAAGUGGGAAACGAUGUGGGAAGGCCCAGACAGCCAGGAUGUUGGCUUAGAAGCAGCCAUCAUUUAAAGAAAGCGUAAUAGCUCACUGGUCGAGUCGGCCUGCGCGGAAGAUGUAACGGGGCUAAACCAUGCACCGAAGCUGCGGCAGCGACACUAUGUGUUGUUGGGUAGGGGAGCGUUCUGUAAGCCUGUGAAGGUGUACUGUGAGGUAUGCUGGAGGUAUCAGAAGUGCGAAUGCUGACAUAAGUAACGAUAAAGCGGGUGAAAAGCCCGCUCGCCGGAAGACCAAGGGUUCCUGUCCAACGUUAAUCGGGGCAGGGUGAGUCGACCCCUAAGGCGAGGCCGAAAGGCGUAGUCGAUGGGAAACAGGUUAAUAUUCCUGUACUUGGUGUUACUGCGAAGGGGGGACGGAGAAGGCUAUGUUGGCCGGGCGACGGUUGUCCCGGUUUAAGCGUGUAGGCUGGUUUUCCAGGCAAAUCCGGAAAAUCAAGGCUGAGGCGUGAUGACGAGGCACUACGGUGCUGAAGCAACAAAUGCCCUGCUUCCAGGAAAAGCCUCUAAGCAUCAGGUAACAUCAAAUCGUACCCCAAACCGACACAGGUGGUCAGGUAGAGAAUACCAAGGCGCUUGAGAGAACUCGGGUGAAGGAACUAGGCAAAAUGGUGCCGUAACUUCGGGAGAAGGCACGCUGAUAUGUAGGUGAAGUCCCUCGCGGAUGGAGCUGAAAUCAGUCGAAGAUACCAGCUGGCUGCAACUGUUUAUUAAAAACACAGCACUGUGCAAACACGAAAGUGGACGUAUACGGUGUGACGCCUGCCCGGUGCCGGAAGGUUAAUUGAUGGGGUCAGCGCAAGCGAAGCUCUUGAUCGAAGCCCCGGUAAACGGCGGCCGUAACUAUAACGGUCCUAAGGUAGCGAAAUUCCUUGUCGGGUAAGUUCCGACCUGCACGAAUGGCGUAAUGAUGGCCAGGCUGUCUCCACCCGAGACUCAGUGAAAUUGAACUCGCUGUGAAGAUGCAGUGUACCCGCGGCAAGACGGAAAGACCCCGUGAACCUUUACUAUAGCUUGACACUGAACAUUGAGCCUUGAUGUGUAGGAUAGGUGGGAGGCUUUGAAGUGUGGACGCCAGUCUGCAUGGAGCCGACCUUGAAAUACCACCCUUUAAUGUUUGAUGUUCUAACGUUGACCCGUGAUCCGGGUUGCGGACAGUGUCUGGUGGGUAGUUUGACUGGGGCGGUCUCCUCCUAAAGAGUAACGGAGGAGCACGAAGGUUGGCUAAUCCUGGUCGGACAUCAGGAGGUUAGUGCAAUGGCAUAAGCCAGCUUGACUGCGAGCGUGACGGCGCGAGCAGGUGCGAAAGCAGGUCAUAGUGAUCCGGUGGUUCUGAAUGGAAGGGCCAUCGCUCAACGGAUAAAAGGUACU